UGUGAGUUCAAUUCUUGAGGGGGCCAUUUAGGGAUCUGGGGCAAAAAUUGGGGAUUGGUCCUGCUCUGAGCAGCAGGUUGGACUAGAUGACCUCCUGAGGUCCCUUCCAACCUGAUAUUCUAUGACUACAAAUAAGCCCUUCCCGGCCCCCGUCCUGGGCGUUUAGGGGAUGCAUUGUCUGCAGUCGGACUUUGCAGCUGAACUGGUGAUAGCCCUGUGCCAACAUGUUGAUUUUUUUUACAUGCUGUGAGCAUGAGUUCUGUAUCUUGGCUACUCUGUGACUGAUAAUAGUUGAUAUUGAGAAGGCAGAACAAAGAAAUCUUUCAUCAAAUAAAGGAAUGUGCAUAAACAAAGUAAGUGAGCCUGUGAUGGGGGAAAAGACCUUUGACGGAAACUUGGGCUAUGUGCAGUAGUUUGAGUAAGAGGCAUGAAAGCUCUUGGGGCGUGGACAAUUAAGCUGCUGCAUCUGCAAGGAAAACAUAGCAUUCCUUAAAGCUAACCCUCUUCCCUUGGGUUCCUACUGAAUGCCUGAGAGAUGAGAGCAUGGUGAGUCUCCACAAGACUAAUGCUAAACAUGAGCAGUCUGGCAUAGAGGGAGCACUACAGCAAGUGAAAGUUGGGUUUUGAUCACUAAAAACUUUUGCCUCAGCAAUUAUACUGAGUACAUCACAAAGAAAUGUGUUUGAUGUUGUUUUGGUAAAUAUAACCAGAACUUUGUAGGACAUGUAAAAAGACAACUUCCUUCAUGGGAAGAAGAACCAAUGUGCCUCAGACAAAGGGCAGUUGUUGAGGGAGUAUGACCCUUUAAGGAGUCCUGCUUUCAGCCUCACUUGUGUCUAGUUUACCUCUCAGGCCAGGAGUCAAGUGACGGGGGGCAUGUGACUAAAAUCAAGGCUUGCUGGGGGAUAUAAGGGCACCCUGAGUUGUCUUGAGGGAUAUACUUAAAGAAGAUGGUUGGUUGUAUGACUCGCUUCUUACAGAAGAUGUGGAGAAUGUAAGUUUGUAGGGGGUAUGAGUGGUGGAGCGUGUGCCUACCAUCCAGCCAAGAUAAAGGUCUCAGUAGGGACUGGGUUAAGAAUCCUAUAUCUAGGGCUGUGUCCCAGCAGGAAGCUAGGUGGAAGUGAUCUUGCUUUGAAGUUUAUCAGACUCCCAGAAAGGGAGGAUUAUUGUGAACCCAUACAAAGUGAAGUUUGAUUAAUUGGAGAAGGGAAACAGAGGCAGUAAAGGUACCCAGAGACAGAGUGGGUAAAGUACCUGUUACACUAAGAAGUCACAAAGAUGUUGAAGAGGGACGAUGAAUCAGAGAGAGGCAAGAAGUCUUACUCCUGGGAAUUCGGAAGGCAUUUCAAGCAUUAGGAAGGUGGUGUAAUUCUAUUAAUAACUCUAAAAUAGUAAUACUUACAGGGGUGUUUUCACAUAAGACUCUCAUAGUACUUUCAUGUCCAAUACUACAGGCAUACAUCACCACUGAAAUACGGCCACCUCUUGGUUAGAAUGCAACGACCACGUAGUGCACAGACUGCUGUGAAACACUGGAGAGAGGGAAGCUUUGGCCAAGACACAAAACCGUACGGGAUCUCCCAAAGAUACAUAAAGCUGAAAAGAUCUGUUUUUAAAGUCUUGUAUAAAAGAGCCACAUGUGCUAAACUGUACAGUAUUCCAUUUCUCUACUGCAGAAGAACCAAAGAUGUUAAAACAACCACUAGAGUGAAUGAGGGAAUCAUACUCAUUUUCCAUUGGGCCAGAGAGGAGCUGAACCCAUCCCUCCAGAUCUGAGAAGCCCGGCAGAGACCUCCUCUCCAGCUGAAAAGUAAAUCUCCUGGGGCAGGAGCAUUGCAACCAGUGGACAAGGUAAGUGUCUGAAUCUGAAGUAUGUAACAAUGUGUGUUUUAUACAUUGGAACAAAAACAAGCCACAGCUGAACUACUUUACACAAGCUG